GAAAAGGGCAGUGCUGGGUUGGAACUCCACUUAGCAGCUAAAGUUCAUCCUCUGAAGUCUGGGAAGUCCAAGCUCAAGGUGAAGCCUCCUCAGGUGGCAAAGAGCAGAAGCACAAAAGAGACCAAACUCCCUCCCUCAAGCUCUUUUACAAGAACACUGAGACAUUCACAAGUGCUGAGUCCUCAAACCUACUAACCUCCUGAAGGCUACACCUCAAAUACGGAUUGAAUUUUCGCAUGAGUUUUGAGGGACACCCAUUCAAAGCAUAGCACCCUUCGGCUUCAGAGAAGCUCCAGCCCUGUUGUCACCAAGCAGGUUCCCCCUAGGCAGAGCGCCAAGAAGCAGCCCAGGCGAUCCCAAGGCGCACAAGUGCUCUCACCAGGCUGCGCGCUGGCGGGUCGGUGCACAGGGACGGGGUCGCCGCCCACGCGCGCUUGGUUCAGGGAGCCCAGGCUGUCCCUACCCGCGGCUACAAAAGCUCGCCGAGUCUUCCUGUCCACCCAAUCGCCCCACAUGUCAGCGGUUGGUCGCCUCGCGGUGCAGUGCUGGGCACGCGAGCCCCUCCCGCAGUCAUUCUCAGCACAAGCACCAGCCUGGAGCCCCGCAGCGACAGAGCUGAGAGCCCCCAAGCCGCAGAGGUCGUGCGGAGCAGGUUGCAAAUGUCUUAGAAACACACUCCUGGACCACAGCUUCAAGAGACGCAAGCAGUCACCUCAUCUGCUGGUUUCCAAGCUGCCCUGCCAGAAGCAGGUCAGGGGUCCCACAGGGGUCCUCAGUAACUCCUCAAAAUCCUCUCCCAUCAAUGGCCCCACCAGAUCAUCCCUACUUUUGAAUGCUUGUCCAAUGCAGGUUCCAGAUUUGAUUAAGUGAAACAAAGCCCCAGCUGCUGGAGCAGAGGUUCCACUUGGGUUCCACAGACACCCACAGCCCAAAUCCCUGGAGGCCUAAGGCAAUAGCUAAUUGAGACUAUGCAUCACUAUUAAGGCAUCUUCACUAAAGGGCGCUGUGGAAACGCUGCCUGAGAUGCAGACACCUGUCAGAAGGGGGCUAAAUUUCAAACAAGGAACGUGGUGUUGCAUCACAAUAAAAAGAGGAGACCAAUGGGGAGCAUUGGAAUGAUUUGGUUGCAAGCAUACUACACUACUUGUAAACUGCAGACACAGGCUUAAAAAAAGUGAAAAACUAACCAUGCAAUAAAGAAUGGAAUGAACCAUGAAGCUGUUUCUGUGGCCAGUCAUGUUUUUGAAGCAUAUCCCAUGCUAAUUUCUAGAACAGAAGAAACACACGUGUUCUUGUGUGUAAACCCAGUCCAUGGAAGAGACCGUCUGCUUGUCCCUCCUGAUCUCUGGGCCCAGACAACCAGUAGUCACCAUUCCAAGUGAGGGGUGGCUGCAACUCUACAGCCCCGUUCGUCUCUCCUCACUGUCAAAGCUGCUGAGACCCCAGACUCGACACUUGAAAGAAACCCAUGUCUGUGAAGCACUUGUGGACCAUUCAAGAUUGUGGAAGAAUCACUCAAGAGAAGGAGAUAGCAAUAUUUGCAGAUAUGCAAACUGGCCCCUUGCAUGCACAUCCUGGAGCACGUCCUGGAGCCUUUAGAGGAGACGGCUGCUGCUGUUCCAGUCUCUCCUUAGGCAGACUUGAGUUUCUACCCACUCUUCCCAAGCAGCCGCCCCUCCGCACCCGAGCGAGCCAAAGACCUGGCGGGCUGAGUACUCACUGCGCGCUGGACACAUGCUGAGCCGGCACUGCAGGGACACAGGGCGAGCCGCUGGAUGCAGACCUGUGGCCGCGGCAGUUGGGCUUAUCUUGCCCAUGAAGUUGCCUCUGAAGAACCAAGUCCAACUGUGUAUGCUGAGAGAUGUCUGGCUACUUCCUGAUUGACAGUUCUGGCAAGGUGGCAUUGGGCCCUGGCUUUUCCUCUGGAGGCAUCAUCACUUAUAGGAAAAUGUCCCCUGAAGUCCAAGGAUCAAAGCUGCUGGAACACUGAGAAGCUGAACAAAGGAGAACUGUUUCUCAUCAAACCCAGACUUCCAGACUUCCAAUAGGGUAGAAUGAGCAAGUCAGCAAAUCAUCUUCCUUGGAAACAGUGAUAAAACUAGAUGACAUUGUCAACAACAGCCAUUUCAGAAAUCUAGAAAAUGACCAAAGGCAAACAACAAACUGAGAAGCAUUUUUUUUUCCAUGAAAAAUCGCUCUAUUUCUGCAAAAAUAGUGGGAGUCUAUGGCUUCUCAUCCAGGGCUGUUUCUCUCCCCACCCCAGCUCAGUCAGUACAAAGGUUCUGGCAGCAUGAGGCAGACUGAACAGACCUGAAGUUUGAUUGCUGGAAGAAACUGACUCCAGGUUUGGCAGAGGGUGAGAAACCUACUCCCAGCCAUGUUGUCUGGUGACACAGUGACCUUAGGGACAAGUGAAUAGGGAAGGCCAGUGAUUCAUUAACCUGAGGUUGCAGUCCUGGUUGGGGAAAGCAUCAGAAUGGCAGAUAAGCUAGAAAUUUAGUAGGGAUAUGCUGGAAAUGAGACAACCCCAAAGGGGCUUGACCCCAAAGUUGUCCACACACCCCAGCUGCCUUCUGAGCAGAUGUAGGGAGAGACCAGAGAAGGCCUAGGCUAUCCACACAUCUCUGGCUAACCCAGGCUGUAAACCUGUGGAGGAGACACAAGAGGUGGAUUGAUUGCUAAUGGGCAUAUGGGGGAUCUUACUGGUUGAUAGGAACAUUCUCAAAUUGGAUUGUGGUGAUGCUUGCACAACUCUAAGUUUAUCCCAAAUUGCUAAAUUUUACACUAAAAAGGGGUGAACUUUAGGGUAUAUAAAUUAUACAUCAAUAAAGUUGUCAUAAAGCAUUCAC
rnacentral:lncRNA from 1 species